rnacentral:misc_RNA from 1 species
AGCAGCCGCGGUAAUUCCAGCUCCAAUAGCGUAUAUUAAAGUUGUUGCAGUUAAAAAGCUCGUAGUUGAAUUUCGGGAUCAGUACGCUGGUCAUGCCUUUGGUAUGCACUGGUGUCACUGGUUUCUCCCUUCUGAAGAUCCGUGAUGUCAUUAAUUUGGUGUCGCGGGGAAUCAGGACUGUUACUUUGAAAAAAAUUAGAGUGUUAAUGCAAGGCUAGCACGCUGCAAUUAACAUUAGCAUGGAAUAAUGAAAUAGGACGUUUGACCCUAUUUUGUUGGUUUCUAGGAUCGACGUAAUGAUUAAUAGGGAUAGUUGGGGGCAUUAGUAUUCAAUUGUCAGAGGUGAAAUUCUUGGAUUUAUUGAAGACUAACUACUGCGAAAGCAUUUGCCAAGGAUGUUUUCAUUAAUCAAGAACGAAAGUUAGGGGAUCGAAGACGAUCAGAUACCGUCGUAGUCUUAACCAUAAACUAUGCCGACUAGGGAUCGGAUGAUGUUAAUUUUUAUAAUGACUCAUUCGGC